AUGAUUCUCAAAGGAUGUGCUGGCAACUUAUACUUGCAUGUGCACUCUGAUUAUCAUCCCCCUGUGCACAUUGUGUAGACAAGGAUAAUGACAUGUCAUUAUCUAUAUAUGUCUAUGAUUUUUAUACACACUAUCAAAUAAAAUUUGUAUGUUUUUUAAAAUUAAUA
rnacentral:misc_RNA from 1 species